rfam:Thalassobius maritimus strain DSM 28223 genome assembly, contig: Ga0070000_104
AAUCAAGCGCGAGAAGGGCGUUUGGUGGAUGCCUUGGCAGUAAGAGGCGAUGAAAGACGUGAUACUCUGCGAUAAGUCAUGGGGAGCUGAGAAUAAGCUUUGAUCCAUGAAUUUCUGAAUGGGGGAACCCACCUGACAGUUUGUUAUAAAAUGCUCUGCAUUUUAUAACUUGCUGAACCAGGUACUUAAGACCUGAAUACAUAGGGUUUUAAGAGCAAACCCGGGGAACUGAAACAUCUAAGUACCCGGAGGAAAGGAAAUCAAUUGAUACUCCCCUAGUAGCGGCGAGCGAACGGGGACCAGCCAAGCCUGAUAAGUGACUAGAACGUGUUGGGAAGCACGGCCAUAGCGGGUGAUAGCCCCGUAUAGGAAGCUUUGAAGGAUGUAUUAAGUAGGGCGGGACACGUGAAAUCCUGUCUGAAGAUCGGAGGACCACCUUCGAAGGCUAAGUACUCCUUACUGACCGAUAGCGAACCAGUACCGUGAGGGAAAGGUGAAAAGCACCCCGACAAGGGGAGUGAAACAGUACCUGAAACCGAACGCCUACAAUCAGUUGGAGGCCCCUUGAGGGCUGACAGCGUACCUUUUGUAUAAUGGGUCAUCGACUUAGUGUAUCUAGCAAGCUUAAGCCGUUAGGUGUAGGCGCAGCGAAAGCGAGUCUUAAUAGGGCGCUUGAGUUAGAUGCAUUAGACCCGAAACCGAGUGAUCUAGGCAUGACCAGGAUGAAGGUAAGGUAACACUUACUGGAGGUCCGAACCCACACCUGUUGAAAAAGGUCGGGAUGAGUUGUGCCUAGGGGUGAAAGGCCAAUCAAACUCGGAGAUAGCUGGUUCUCUGCGAAAUCUAUUUAGGUAGAGCGUCAUCCGAAUACCCCGGGGGGUAGAGCACUGAAUGGGUAAUGGGGGCCCACAGCCUUACUGAUCCUAAUCAAACUCCGAAUACCCGGGAGUACUAGAUGGCAGACACACUGCGGAUGCUAACGUCCGUAGUGGAGAGGGAAACAACCCUGACCUACGACUAAGGCCCCUAAUUCAUGGCUAAGUGGGAAAGCAGGUGGGACGACCAAAACAACCAGGAGGUUGGCUUAGAAGCAGCCAUCCUUUAAAGAUAGCGUAACAGCUCACUGGUCUAAAUAAGUUGUCCUGCGGCGAAGAUGUAACGGGGCUCAAGCCAUGAGCCGAAGUCUAGGAUAGUGACAUUCCUUCGGGAAUGCACUGUGGUAGCAGAGCGUAGUGUGACAUAGCUUCAUGUCUCUUUAACUCAUUGAUAUCGUAUCAAUUUGUUGCUGGAGGAUUUAGUCCUCAAGUAGCGAAGCGGUAGGACAUCAUAUAAUGAGUGUCGGAGACACGAAGCUUUCGAUGAAGCUGGGGCGUGAGCCAUCCGGUGGAGAGAUCACUAGUGAGAAUGAUGACAUGAGUAGCGACAAAGAGUGUGAGAGACACUCUCGCCGAAAGUCCAAGGGUUCCUGCUUAAAGCUAAUCUGAGCAGGGUAAGCCGACCCCUAAGGCGAGGCCGAAAGGCGUAGUCGAUGGGAACCAGGUUAAUAUUCCUGGGCCAGAUGGAAGUGACGGAUUGCGACGGUUGUUCCUCCUUAUUGGAUUGGAGGGGCCGCUUAGCAGUUCCUGGAAAUAGCUCCAUCGCUAGAUCGUACCCUAAACCGACACAGGUGGACUGGUAGAGAAUACCAAGGCGCUUGAGAGAACGAUGUUGAAGGAACUCGGCAAAAUACCUCCGUAAGUUCGCGAGAAGGAGGCCCAGUUUCUACGCAAGUAUUGGCUGGGGGCACAAACCAGGGGGUGGCGACUGUUUACUAAAAACACAGGGCUCUGCGAAGUCGCAAGACGACGUAUAGGGUCUGACGCCUGCCCGGUGCCUGAAGGUUAAAAGGAGGGGUGAGAGCUCCGAAUUGAAGCCCAGGUAAACGGCGGCCGUAACUAUAACGGUCCUAAGGUAGCGAAAUUCCUUGUCGGGUAAGUUCCGACCUGCACGAAUGGCGUAACGACUUCCCCACUGUCUCCAACAUCGACUCAGCGAAAUUGAAUUGCCUGUCAAGAUGCAGGCUUCCCGCGGUUAGACGGAAAGACCCCGUGCACCUUUACUACAGCUUCACACUGGCAUCAGGCCAUGCAUGUGCAGGAUAGGUGGUGGGCAUUGAAACCGUGACGCCAGUCGCGGUGGAGCCUCCCUUGAGAUACCACCCUUGCAUUGCUUGAUGUCUAACCGCGGUCCGUUAUCCGGAUCCGGGACCCUGUGUGGCGGGUAGUUUGACUGGGGCGGUCGCCUCCUAAAGCGUAACGGAGGCGCGCGAAGGUUGGCUCAGAGCGGUCGGAAAUCGCUCGUUGAGUGCAAUGGCAGAAGCCAGCCUGACUGCAAGACUGACAAGUCGAGCAGAGUCGAAAGACGGCCAUAGUGAUCCGGUGGUCCCGAGUGGAAGGGCCAUCGCUCAACGGAUAAAAGGUACGCCGGGGAUAACAGGCUGAUACUGCCCAAGAGUCCAUAUCGACGGCAGUGUUUGGCACCUCGAUGUCGGCUCAUCUCAUCCUGGGGCUGGAGCAGGUCCCAAGGGUACGGCUGUUCGCCGUUUAAAGAGGUACGUGAGCUGGGUUUAGAACGUCGUGAGACAGUUCGGUCCCUAUCUGCCGUGGGUGUAGGAUACUUGAGAGGAGUUGCCCCUAGUACGAGAGGACCGGGGUGAACGAUCCACUGGUGGACCUGUUGUUGCGCCAGCAGCAGUGCAGGGUAGCUAUGAUCGGACAGGAUAACCGCUGAAGGCAUCUAAGCGGGAAGCCCCCCUCAAAACAAGGUAUCCCUGAGGACCGUGGUAGACCACCACGUCGAUAGGCCGGAGAUGUAAGUGCAGCAAUGCAUUCAGUUGACCGGUACUAAUGGUCCGAUAGGCUUGAUUUG